AUUGACCUCUAGGGCUUACACCAACACAUGGUCCAUGGGGUGAUCAAUUGGAGGGGAGGUGUGGAUGACCAUGAAUUGUUUGCUUGGGUCGUCUUCCAAUAAAACCCCAAGAAUCGGGUUCAACACUCAUGAGCUUCCGCCAGGUCAAAACAAAAGUUUUUCAACACAACGCCUCAAAGCUAGCUUCACCCUCGUUUCCAAUUCUAAUCCGCGUUCCAUGAAAUACCAAGAACUCGCUCUUCACGUUCAUUCAGGAAAUGAAAUACUUAGAUCAAACACGAUAAAUCAUGGAUGAAACAAAACAAAACAGCUUGCAGGUCAAUCAACACCAUCACCAUUAACACGUCGUCAAUGAGAAGCUGGGAUUCACUUCGAUUUUGCACCAACAGUCGAGAAUUUCAACGAACGAACUCGAUUUCUUUCUCCAUGACGAAAACAAAAAUAACGAUGGAUCCACGGUAUUUUGACACCAAAACGAAUUGGAUUAGAUUGCACAUGUAGUGGAGAGAUUGAAGGAGGAGGAACCUAUCGGAUUUAUCGGAGACUCCAGAGUCCAAUUCUCUAGCUGAAGAUUUGAUUCUCUUUGUAAUAGUUGGAGGGUGUAUAAGGUUUGUUGAAGAAAUUGUUAGAAGAGGGUGUGGUGGAGGGUUCUUGGAGGGUAAUGUUCGUUAUGUUAUUUUUGUUGGAGGUGAUGGCUUCAGUUGAAGGGUGCAGAAGGUUAGAAGAGGCAGGAGUUUCGGUUUGCCGGGUUUUGGUGUUGAAGUGGGGCGUUCAGUUAUAAGGGUGGGGGAGGUUCUUGUGAAUGAGAUUGAAGGCUAGAGCAGUUCUAGUUAUGAGGAAAAUCGUUCAGUUAUCAAUGGUUCCUCCUGUUAUGGGAGAUUUUGUUAGAGGUUAAUAUUGAGGAUUAUGAAAUUUGAUUAGAAGAGUAGAAGUCAAUUAGGAAAAUGGUUAGGAGGUGGUUGGGGAUUCAAUUGGAGUUAGUUAUUGUUGUUGAUGUUCCUUGUGCUGCUGCUGCUGUCUCGAAAUAAUAUUUUGAUUAGAAGAUUGAAUCUAUCUACUUAUUUUCCAUCUAAUAUAUUCCAUUAAGAGAGAAUUCACGCUGAUUGAAAUCCCGAAUCCGGUGAAUGUUGAAAGAAGAACCGAGAAUAUCACAGUGACAUUAAGUAUUGAAUAGAAAACAUGAGUAAACAGGAUGACAAAUGCAAACUGGAAGCAUGCAUAAGCCCAUAUGUAACUCUUGCUAACCAUUCUUGAUGAGAUUAAAGAUGAAAGGAGACCUAAGAUGCAUGAGAAAGGCAAAGAAAUGGCGAAAGCACGUGGACCCAAAUCCGAAACCAGUAGUUCCUCAAGAAAAUAAAUGUAUGCAAGUGUGAUGACUAAGACAAGCAUUGAUACAUCCUACCAGAUUCUGUAAUUAGCUAUUUCUCUCUGUUGUGAUGCAUUCAAUGGAUGUCGAACAACAUUUAGAGGACUAGAAUUUUUCAAGAGUGUUACUGGAAGGUUUCAGACAUCCUUCUUGCACAUAUCACAAGUCUUAUUUCCUUUGAUACUAAACCACUUCACUGCACAAUCUUGGUGAGUAAGUGCAAGCUCACCUUUACAACUGCAAUCCAUCCUAAGAGUAUCUCCCCCUUUUGUUCCUGUAGCAAGGAGAAAUGUACCCAUGGAUGCUACAAGUCCAAAGCAAAUUGUUGACACAUCUACUUUGCAUAACUUCAUGGAAUCAUAAAUUCCCACUCCACCAGUAACAAAACCACCAUGUGAAUUUAUAAACAACUUGACGUCUUUCUUAGGGUCAUCAACAUCCAAAAACAAAAGAUAACUGUUUACAAGAUCAGCAGUCAUAUCAUCCACCCGAGAACCCCAAAAGACAAUUCUUUGACGGAGAAGCAUGUUGGUAGUGUCAAGUUCUUCGAAUUUGGGAAGCCAUGGAGAAGCAGUUCUGGCAGAUAAAUCAUGGUAAAUGAGCCAUUUGGAGGAUAAAGUGUGUUUGAUUGUGUUAAAGAUUGUUGUUAUGCAUUAUUGUUCUGUGUCUAUUACAGAAUUUUGGUGUGGCAGGAAUGGAUUGGACCAUCGGUUGCUUGUGGUGUGCAAUAACUGUGACAAAUAUGGAGCUACUAUGAAUGACUGGACUAUGCUUUGCAAGCUGUUUGGUGAUGUUUUUAGCUGAUGUGAAUCGUGGUUAUACUGAUGUACACUUGCUGCUGGGGUUUUUUAUGCAGGUCAAAAUGUUUGCUUUCUUCAAUUGUGCAGGUUAUGAACCAUUGGCCUUUGAAGUUCUUGUAAUGCUUGAACUAUUUUUGGAGUGCUUUGCACUGAAUUGGAUAUUGGGAUUUCAUGGAGCUAUGGAGUAUGUUAUGGACUAGUUUCAAAUGGAUUUGUGGUUUCAUAUGGAACUUAGAUUGUCUAUUUAUUGUUUAUGGAAUUCAAACUACGUAUUGAAAUUAUUGUAAUUUUGUUGUAAUUUUGAAGUUGACAUUGUUUAAAGUUGGAAUGUAGAGGUAUGUAUGGUUAUGUAUGGUUGAUUGGUGAAUAUUGAAAGAUGAAUGGAAAUUGAAAUU